rnacentral:rRNA from 1 species
UGGGGAAUAUUGCACAAUGGGGGAAACCCUGAUGCAGCGACGCCGCGUGAGCGAAGAAGUAUUUCGGUAUGUAAAGCUCUAUCAGCAGGGAAGAUAAUGACGGUACCUGACUAAGAAGCCCCGGCUAACUACGUGCCAGCAGCCGCGGUAAUACGUAGGGGGCAAGCGUUAUCCGGAUUUACUGGGUGUAAAGGGAGCGUAGACGGCGAAGCAAGUCUGGUGUGAAAACCCGGGGCUCAACCCCGGGCCUGCAUUGGAAACUGUUUGCUUGAGUGCCGGAGAGGUAAGCGGAAUUCCUAGUGUAGCGGUGAAAUGCGUAGAUAUUAGGAGGAACACCAGUGGCGAAGGCGGCUUACUGGACGGCAACUGACGUUGAGGCUCGAAAGCGUGGGGAGCAAACAGGAUUAGAUACCC